rnacentral:rRNA from 1 species
ACGCACGCUGGGGGCGUGCCUCAUCCCUGCAAGUAGAACGCUGAAGAGAGGAGCUUACUCUUCUUGGAUGAGUUGCGAACGGGUGAGUAACGCGUAGGUAACCUGCCUUGUAGCGGGGGAUAACUAUUGGAGACGAUAGCUAAUACCGCAUAACAAUGGAUGACACAUGUCAUUUAUUUGAAAGGGGCAAUUGCUCCACUACAAGAUGGACCUGCGUUGUAUUAGCUAGUAGGUGAGGUAAUGGCUCACCUAGGCGACGAUACAUAGCCGACCUGAGAGGGGGGUCGGCCACACUGGGACUGAGACACGGCCCAGACUCCUGCGGGAGGCAGCAGUAGGGAAUCUUCGGCAAUGGGGGCAACCCUGACCGAGCAACGCCGCGUGAGUGAAGAAGGGUUUCGGAUCGUAAAGCUCUGUUGUAAGUCAAGAACGGGUGUGAGAGUGGAAAGUUCACACUGUGACGGUAGCUUACCAGAAAGGGACGGCUAACUACGUG